rnacentral:rRNA from 1 species
GACGAACGCUGGCGGCGUGCUUAACACAUGCAAGUCGAGCGGAAAGGCCCUUCGGGGUACUCGAGCGGCGAACGGGUGAGUAACACGUGAGCAACCUGCCCCUGACUCUGGGAUAAGCCCGGGAAACUGGGUCUAAUACCGGAUAUGACCGCCCCCGGCAUCGGGUGGUGGUGGAAAGUUUUUUCGGUUGGGGAUGGGCUCGCGGCCUAUCAGCUUGUUGGUGGGGUAGUGGCCUACCAAGGCGACGACGGGUAGCCGGCCUGAGAGGGCGACCGGCCACACUGGGACUGAGACACGGCCCAGACUCCUACGGGAGGCAGCAGUGGGGAAUAUCGCGCAAUGGGCGGAAGCCUGACGCAGCGACGCCGCGUGGGGGAUGACGGCCUUCGGGUUGUAAACCUCUUUCAGCAGGGACGAAGUUGACGUGUACCUGCAGAAGAAGCGCCGGCUAACUACGUGCCAGCAGCCGCCGUAA